rnacentral:rRNA from 1 species
CCGCGGGAUUAGAGUUUGAUCCUGGCUCAGGAUAAACGCUGGCGGCGUGCCUAACACAUGCAAGUCGAACGCCCUUUUCUGCCGCAAGGUGGAAGAGGGAGUGGCGGACGGGUGAGGAACACGUGGGUGACCUACCUUUCAGUGAGGAAUACCGGCGAGAAAUCGCCGACAAGACCGCAUACGCUUCUCUGUUCAAUCGGGGAAGGAAAGCUUUUUCGCAAGAGGAGGCGCUGGAAGAUGGGCCUGCGGCCGAUUAGCUAGCUGGUGGGGUAAUGGCCUACCAGGGCGACGAUCGGUAGCUGGUCUGAGAGGACGAUCAGCCACACUGGGAUUGAGAACGGCCCAGACUCCUACGGGGGGCAGCAGUGAGGAAUUUUCGGCAAUGGGGGCAACCCUGACCGAGCAACGCCGCGUGCAGGAGGAAGGUCUUCGGAUCGUAAACUGCUUUUCUGUGGGAAGAGAACGGACGGUACCACAGGAAGAAGCCCCGGCUAACUACGUGCCAGCAGCCGCGGUAAUACGUAGGGGGCGAGCGUUGUCCGGAGUUACUGGGCGUAAAGCGCACGCAGGCGGUCGUAUAAGUUUGGGGUGACAGUUGCCGGCUUAACCGGGAAAGUGCCUCAAAGACUGUACGACUUGAGGGCCACAGAGGGACAUGGAACUCCAGGUGUAGUGGUGAAAUGUGUAGAUAUCUGGAAGAACACCAAAGGCGAAGGCAGUGUCCUGGGUGGUACCUGACGCUCAGGUGCGAAAGCCAGGGGAGCGAACGGGAUUAGAUACCCCGGUAGUCCUGGCCGUAAACGAUGACCACUAGAUGUGCGGGGUAUCGACCCCCUGCGUGUCGGAGCANACGCGAUAAGUGGUCCGCCUGGGGAGUACGGUCGCAAGAUUAAACUCAAAGGAAUUGAC